UACGUAGGGUCCGAGCGUUGUCCGGAAUUACUGGGCGUAAAGAGCUCGUAGGUGGUUUGUCGCGUUGUUCGUGAAAACUCACAGCUCAACUGUGGGCGUGCGGGCGAUACGGGCAGACUAGAGUACUGCAGGGGAGACUGGAAUUCCUGGUGUAGCGGUGGAAUGCGCAGAUAUCAGGAGGAACACCGAUGGCGAAGGCAGGUCUCUGGGCCAUAACUGACGCUGAGAAGCGAAAGCAUGGGGAGCGAACAGG
rnacentral:rRNA from 1 species